UUUUUUCCUUUCGGGCCUACUGUUAUUGAAAUUGUGUGUUCUCUGCAUGAUUUGAGGCUGAAAAAUACAAAAAUGACACCUACUCCACAGGUUUUUACGAGUCUUCCAAAAAUUCUUAAAAAUUGCAUUGAGUGAAAUCAGAAAUCUAAAGAUGAUCCAAGAAUGAAAAAUGUCCUAGUAGUUAGAUUUUUGAAAUUAUCUUAUGCUUAUUGUUUUUUUUGGUUUAUAUUUAACUUCUGGU